AGAGAGAAUAACUGUGAUUUAUUCCUGUUCAUCAGGAUUGUGAGCCUGCCAGCAGUUGUGCUGGGUGCUGGUCACAGGAGUUCAUCCGGUAAUAAGAAAUUGGCUUUUGGUUUUGCUUAACAACAACCAGGAAACUGGUUGAGCAUCCAGCAGGGUCAAUGUCUUAAAUAUGGCGUUAUCUGAAAUUGCAGCAUUUCUUGGAUAUGUAAAGAUUACAUUUUACUUACCUGGAUUUUGUAUUUCUUUUGAUAGCAAGAAUUUAACAGUUUUUAAAGACAAUAAUUUGCAUUAUAAAAUAUACAAGAUGGAUUUUGCAUCCCCUUCAAGAUUUGUGAUGUGCCUUUGUGUAUGGAUGUUUACUCUCGAGGAGGGAGGCAGGGCAUUUGGUGGAGGCGAGUAGCUGCGGCCACUCUGUGAUGGAGACUGUGUGGGCAGCAUGUGGCGUUGGGGCCUGUGCUGCAGCAGGAGCUCAAGGUGCUGCAGCUGUUAUAAUGCUGGGGUUUCAUUUGCCCUGUAAAUAUCUUGUAUUAAGUCAAAUCUCACAAAAUGACACAUAUUUGCCUAGUUUUGAUCUAUAAAAAUGACAAUUUCAUAUGGUCAACGUGAUAGUAAUAUAGCAACAGAAACCUCAUAGUAAGUAUCUGCGGUUGCCAGCAUGGAAGGAAGGAAUGGAGAUGGGGCUAAGAAAAUAGCACCCUUGGAAAGUGUGGAGCUGGGCUGGAUGGUUACGGAGGCCCUUCUGGGAGUGCCUGCCAACUCCCUCGUAGUCCUGCAUGAGACAAGAGAGGACUCGCACACUUCCGGGCCAAGACCUCAGCACAGCUGGGACAAAGCUGUUCGGUGCUGAGCGAAGCCGCAGCAAAAUCAAGAUCUGCUGAGUCUGAGUCAGUUUCCUCUCUGAGUGAUGUCAGUCACUCAGAGACAAGGUGAAAACAUUCCUCCGAAGGUGAAAAAGGUCAGCCUUUCUUCCUGCCAUAGGGACAUUUACUCCGAAACAAGGCUUCCAGUUGCUGUAGGGCUGAGCCUUGCUGGCUCAGGCAUGGUUUUAAAGGCCAAGCUGGGCUCAAUUCCUUUUGACAAGAUGCUUCAGGGUAUCCUUGAUGGACUGCAUCAUCUUUUGAACCUAACUACUUGCUUGAGGGUGUUUUGGUGCAAUGGGAAUGCCCAAGACAGUCUCCCCCUUCUAUCCUGCACAACCUUCUAAGGCUCAGCAGAUGUAUAGAUAUGAAGACCCAUUGAAACAUUAUUUUUUCCCCCCGAUCUAUAUGUUGCAAAUAAUACUAGCACAGCUGCUUCUUGAAGCACAUUUCUGAGUUGGAAUUAGAAGCAUUUUGAGCUGUUUUUAGAUGAUAUCAUCUAUGAGCAAGAUGUUCUUCCCCUGAAAAGGUCUUACGAAAUCAAUAUCGAUUGAUUCUUAGGGUGAGGCAAAUAAUAUGCACCUUUACAGCCUUUUCUGUAUCAGAAUCAAUUCCAGGCCGACAGACACAACUUUGAGCUUUAAAGAUUGGUGACCUUAAUAACUCUGGCAAAAGGCCUUGUGAGAAACUAUUAUGAAGGAUUCUGUAUUGCUACGUACCACACAUAGAAAUAACUUCCAACUUUCUCUCCCAGGUACUCAUGAGAAUUGCUGCCAAAUCCCAAAAGUUUUGAGGUGGCUCCUCAUGGCCUUCUGAAUACAUGUGUUAAUUAUGAUAAUGCUACUAGCUGUGACAGAUACGCCCUGAAACUGCAGUUAAUUCAGUUGAAUUUAUUGCUUAUGUGAUAGUCCAGCAAGCUUGUUCAGUAGACAGACUUCCACGUGGUGACUCAGGGAUCCAAGCUCGUUUCCUAUUAUGGCUCCAUUAUCUUUUCCAUGUGGCUUCCAUGUUCACAGUGAAGGGGGAAUAAAAGCGGGUUGGUGAAGGUACAUUAGCCUCUUAAUACAGCCCCCAGAAACCACACAUUACCUCUGCUUCCAACUCAUAAGAACUGGUAUCAUGGCCCCACCUAGAUAUAAGAGGAACUGGGAAAUGUGGUCCCUGCCCAGGCACUCACUUCCCCGCGGCACUGCUACAUUCAGACAUCUGACUGUCUCUGACACUGCAGAAUAUCACUCAUGCUUUGUUCUCACUAAAGAAUCCUAAUGACAUGUACUUGGAAUUUUUUUUCUGAAGGAUCUGAAGACUCCAUGUUCUUAAAAAGAUGCUUCCUCUUACAGAAUCUGCCAUCUCAGCCCUGAAGGGUCAAACUCCGUAGCUUCUGCUGGGUCUUGCAUUUUUGACUUCUUGCACUCUAGUGACUGUGGGAAGGAGUUACCUGCCUUCAUGCUACAGACAGCAUUUCUAUUAUUGUCACCGUUGAUUUCUGUGGCAUCAUUGAUGUCAUUAGGGAGAGACUUUUCUUGGGUCAUUAUGAAUGUCAAAUUUGGUUCAGUCAGAAAACAGUAUUGGAGAGAGUCACUGUGAACGCUGCAUGUAAGGUAAUUCCACGGAGGCAUCUAGGAAGUCUCCAAUAUUGCAUGGUUGAGACGUUGACAUAAUUUCCCAGUCACUCAGAGAUGUGCUCACCAGGAUUAUGAUUUCACCUAGAACGUGUAAAUCUCUGAAUAAUGGUGGAUGGUUCUGGGUAGUGGGCCAUCAUUCCACAAGGGCAUUAAUUUUUGUCUUCUUUACUCAACAGAAGCAUGGAGGGAGCUCAUGGAUAAGUGGAUAGGAGCCGGGGCUCCGAAAUCACACCUUUUCAACUGGCCAGGCUUCCGUUACUCAGCCAGUGGGGGUGAUGCCAGUGCCCGUCUCCUGCGAGGCCCCUGAGUGUGAUGGGUGAAGGAAUGCAAGUACCACACUUAGCUCAGCUUAGCCUAGGCUUUGGCACGUGAAGUGCUCGCUUCUAGAGGCUGCCUGCCGUCUGUGGCUCCUGGACUUUUUUUACAUCUCCAGAACCAGCAACGGCAGGUCCAGCCCUCCUCCCAUCACAGCUCAUCUCUCCAACCUACUCGUCUGCCUCACUCUUCCAAUUUUGUGGACCCUGUGAUCACAGUGGCCCACCUGGACCAUCCAGGAAAAUCUCCCGACUUGAAGAUCUUUUCGAAGGGGCCUGAAAGGUAGCUCCUUGCACAGCAGGACUGGUUUAUUCGCCUGGAGUAUCCCUCUGAUCCAGCAAGCGUGCAUCCAACAACCCCAGGCUUUGGUCCGGCCUCCUCACACAGGGCUCCUGAGCCUGUGGGCCUCUCCUGCCCCAUGAGCCUUGCUACAAGGAGCUAUGCAUGUGGCUGCCUCACUCUAGGGCACUGGAAAGGAAUGGAGAAAAGAGGGGGUUGCCAAGGAGGGUGCAAGGAAAAUUGUCCACUGAAUUUUGCCACCUACAGAAAAGGCAAGGACUGUACUAUGAUUCUCAUAGUCAGAAGAGUUAUGAUGCACUGCUGAAGGUAACUCUUCUCAAUGGGAGCAAAAAUUACCAGGACUGUGGACAAUACAUAUUUUUUCUUUGUUCAAAUCAUUUCUUCUCAAAGUUAAAACUUCAAAAAGGCAAAAAGAUGUUUGAAUGGGCACUGUCUAGGAAAUGUAAAUAAACAUGGUCCACAGAACUUGUCGUUUCUCUUUUAAGUUUUCAGUGCUCCCUUAUCUAGGGGACACCAGGCUGAAUGAACAACAGAGGUUGGAGAAGACAUUUAGGAUAAGAAUCCCGUUUGGGGGACUGAGAAACAGUGUCGACUGGAGACAGAAAAUCCAGUAACUGAUAAAGAUUCAAAUAGUAAUUGUGUGUCAUUUUCUGAUAGUGGAGUGGUCACCAGUCAAUAUGGAUAAUGUACAUUCAAAGCGCUUUGCCAAGAAAGAGGCAUUAUCAAACGUCGUAUUUUAUCGUUGCUUUUAGAAUUAAGCGGCGAUCACAGCUUGGGUUUCAGCCGCACCGAUAAGAACAGGCCCUGCCUUUUUGUUUCACCUUUGACAUCCCUGGAUCAAAUAAAAUUA